rnacentral:lncRNA from 1 species
UGAAUGGUAGCCUUACUGGAUAUCCUGAGAGAUGGUAGAUGGACCGGGUACAUAGGGAACCCAACCGUGAACAUCGUCUCAUACCGGACGAGGUAUCGAGGAUUAGUAUUUUGGCGCUCAUACCGGACGAGAUAUGGAAACGGCCCAUUUCACCCUCAUGCCCGACGAGGUAUUGAGGGAUGGUAUUUUGGCGUUCAUACCAGACAAAGUAUGGGAACGACCCGUUAAUUGAAAAUGUUAAAAAAAUAAAAUGGUUCACGCAUAAUGGGGACAUUCCAAUGGACCCCAAUAGAUACUAGUAGGCUAAUAAAAGAGA